CAUGCAAGUCGAACGAGCGAGAGAGAGCUUGCUUUCUCGAGCGAGUGGCGAACGGGUGAGUAACGCGUGAGGAACCUGCCUCAAAGAGGGGGACAACAGUUGGAAACGACUGCUAAUACCGCAUAAGCCCACGGGUCGGCAUCGACCAGAGGGAAAAGGAGCAAUCCGCUUUGAGAUGGCCUCGCGUCCGAUUAGCUAGUUGGUGAGGUAAUGGCCCACCAAGGCGACGAUCGGUAGCCGGACUGAGAGGUUGAACGGCCACAUUGGGACUGAGACACGGCCCAGACUCCUACGGGAGGCAGCAGUGGGGAAUAUUGCACAAUGGGGGAAACCCUGAUGCAGCGACGCCGCGUGGAGGAAGAAGGUCUUCGGAUUGUAAACUCCUGUUGUUGGGGAAGAUAAUGACGGUACCCAACAAGGAAGUGACGGCUAACUACGUGCCAGCAGCCGCGGUAAAACGUAGGUCACAAGCGUUGUCCGGAAUUACUGGGUGUAAAGGGAGCGCAGGCGGGAAGACAAGUUGGAAGUGAAAUCUAUGGGCUCAACCCAUAAACUGCUUUCAAAACUGUUUUUCUUGAGUAGUGCAGAGGUAGGCGGAAUUCCCGGUGUAGCGGUGGAAUGCGUAGAUAUCGGGAGGAACACCAGUGGCGAAGGCGGCCUACUGGGCACCAACUGACGCUGAGGCUCGAAAGUGUGGGUAGCAAACAGGAUUAGAUACCCUGGUAGUCCACACCGUAAACGAUGAUUACUAGGUGUUGGAGGAUUGACCCCUUC
rnacentral:rRNA from 1 species